rnacentral:rRNA from 1 species
AAUUCGCCCUUGAGCACGUAGGUGGGUUUGUAAGUCAGACGUGAAAGCCUUCUGUUCAACGGAAGAAUUGCAUCUGAAACUACAAGUCUUGAGUGUAGGAGGGGAGAAUGGAACUUCUGGUGGAGCAGUGAAAUCCGUAGAUAUCAGAAGGAACGCCGGCGGCGAAAGCGAUUCUCUGGCCUAUUACUGACACUCAGUGUGCGAAAGCUAGGGGAGCAAACGGGAUUAGAUACCCCGGUAGUCCUAGCCGUAAACGAUGGGCACUAAGUAGAGGGGAUUACCGACGUUCUCUCUGCCGUAGCUAACGCAUUAAGUGCCCCGCCUGGGGAGUACGGCCGCAAGGCUAAAACUCAAAAGAAUUGACGGGGGCUCGCACAGGCGGUGGAGCAUGUGGCUUAAUUCGAUGCAACGCGAAGAACCUUACCGGGGCUUGACAUGGUAGAAGUAGGAACCCGAAAGGGUAACGAACGGUAUCCAGUCCGUGACUAUCACAGGCGUUGCAUGGCUGUCGUCAGCUCGUGUCGUGAGACGUUGGGUUAAGUCCCCUAACAAGCGAAACCCUUGUUUUUAGUUACCAGCGGGUUGUGCCGGGUACUCUAGAAAGACUGCCGUCGUCAAGACGGGGGAAGGUGGGGAUGACGUCAAGUCAUCGUGGCCCUUAUGCCCCGGGCUGCACACGCGCUACAAUGGUCGGUACAAACGGAAGCGAAGCCGAGAGGUGAAGCGAAUCCAAGGGCGAAUU